CGUGGGCAUCGCCAACUUGACCACAGGUGAAUAUACAGUGAUAUGCAGCUUAUAGGUACAAAAUUGAGAGGUUAGUGAUCGUUCUCUCGUCAUGAGGAGAAUUCUGUGUUUACUUGUAAUCCUCGCGAAUUUAUGCGAGCAAUACGUAAAAGCGGAGCAUGAGGAAGAUGGGUCUACGGAUCUGUUUGUGAUCGAGGGGAAGGUGUUCCCCUGGGACAACGCUGCCUCUACUGGGUGGCAGCUCAUGACGCAUGUAAUGGCAAACGGAGGAGAGCAUUACGGUUUUCUGAGGGAAGAUGGUACAUUCAUAAUCACAAACGUUCCGUCUGGGUCUUAUAUGGUUGAAGUGGUGAAUCCGAAUUACGUUUACGAACCAGUUAGAGUGGAGAUCAAUUCCAAAGGAAAAUUCCGUGCUCGAAAAGUUAAUUUGAUACAGACGUCGCAAGUAAUUCAAGUACCUUAUCCAUUGAAAAUGAGGCCUUUAGCACCAUUUCGAUAUUUCCAAGUUAGAGAGCAAUGGCGAUUAACGGACUUCCUGUUCAAUCCCAUGGUUCUGAUGAUGGUUCUGCCACUUAUACUGAUCAUGAUUCUGCCAAAAAUUAUGAAUGAUCCUGAAACUAGGAAGGUAAGAAGACCUAAAGACCAGCCAAAAAUUGAGUGACCCUAAAGACUAGGAGGGUUCUUUUUUCUAAAUAUCUAUAAAUAAAUGAAAAAUAAUACUGAAAUGGAGCAAUUAAAUAAUCUCACUAUCUAUAAUAUGCCAGAAAUGUCUGAAGUAAUAACGUCUUUUCUUUCUGGAGGAGAAAAACAAAAAUCAAA
rnacentral:misc_RNA from 1 species